GGCUUGGCCAAAUAAUUUUCUUUCUAUCUUUGGUCUGUUCCCAGCCUACCAUCUUCGGAACAGAACAAAGAUAGAAAGAAAAUUAUUUGGCUUUGGCC
rnacentral:pre_miRNA from 1 species